CCUAAAGCUUUCAGAUGGAUCUUUCAUGUUUCCAUUGUUGGAUCUGCCCAAGAAUCAAAUAAUACUUUCCAAAACUUUAUCGGAUCAACAAUUGUUAUCCAAUAUAGGGAAAUAUUUUCAUCUUAUUGAAACAUUUUUUAUGAAUGCAGGGGAGGGGGGAAACAAAAGAAAAAUACCCCGAAUUAGUAAACAAGAAUAUAAAAUCGGUAUGCAUGCCCUAUGGGGGAACCCUUUUAUGCCAAGGGUAGGCUUAGCAUGAAAAUGCAAUCCGCUAGAGUAGGCACCAUACCAUACCUGAUGAAUCCGAUCAACUCAUUGAGUGAAAAAUAAUUUUGAAAAAUUUGGUCAAUUGGAGUGACGAGAGACACUUGUCAAAAUGAGGUCAACGCCCGAAUGGAUUGAUCACUUUUGAUCGAUACAAGAAUUUGCAAAAACGCACGGGUUUGACCUUGACGAACUUCCUAUCGAAGAGAUUGGAAUUCGUUGACCAAAAUUUUUUUUUCAGCGAAGCAUGGGUCAAAACCCCAACUGAUCAAAUGGCUGGAUGCAAUGGAUGGUUUUCUCAAAAAUCGACUAAAUUUCUCAAUUUGAAAUUGACAUUGAAACCCUGAUUGGUCAAAUGGGUUGAAUGAAAUUGACCAUUUAUUUAAAAUCUACCGGAUUACCCUAAAAAAGGAAACGGGUCAAAUGAAUUGAGUGAAAUUUAAAACUUACUCAAAAUUGACCGAAUCAUCCUAAAAAAACUUGAUUGAAUGACAUUGAGAAUUUUGUUCAAAAUAAAAUUGGUCAAAUGAAUUGAAUGAAAUCGAGAAUUUAUUCAAAAUUGACCAGAUCGCCCUAAAAGGGUAAACUGGUCCAAUGAAUUGGACGAAAUGGAUAAUUUAUCGAAAAUCGACAAAAUUGCCCUAACUAAUCAAAUGAAUUGAAUGAAAUUGGUGAUUUAUUCAAAAUCAACUAGAUUGCCCUAAAAAUGAACAAAUUGAUAAAAUGGACUGGAUGAUAUUGAUGAAAGAAAUGGUUCAAUGGAUUGAAUGGAAUUGGGAGCUUAUUUAAAAAAAAUCAAGCUAUCCACUGAUAGUUUCAAAAAUUUAUUACGAUGCAUUAGUCUAUGAGCCUUCUAAAAUCAAAUUUUGGCCUUAAUUCAUUUAUCGUCUCAAUAGGAGAAAUUAUUUGUGAAUUUCUUCAAAUUAAAGUCCUUUGCGCAAGGAAUUUUUACUAACUUUGAAAAAAUGGCCAAAAAGUGAUUAUUAGACGCUCAUAUUCCAAAAAUCGCUCUUAUGAAGACGAUCGGAUCCUACCUUACCUUAUGCACUACCCCUUUGGAUUGUACAAAAUGUAAACGUGCAAGUCUCUUUGGAUUAAGUAUCCGAGACACAAGGUGGUUUAUUCCUGAUACGGGAUCCCCUAAAUGGCAUUCCCUUUCUAGGGUUAUGCAUGAUGCCAUUUAUUAAAGCAGUAAAAUAUGCAAUUUGAAAUGAAACAUGACCUAAAAGACCCUUUAUUUGCCAGGGUAAGCCUAAAAUGAUAUGACAUUAUUAAUUUAUGAAUGAAAUAUAUCACAACUUCUUAAACGUGCAAUAUCCUAUCUACACGGGUAGGCUUCUAAAAGAAGGUCAUGCCAGACCUCUUAUUUGCUAGGGGUUUGUGAAUGCAAUAGGGACACAAAACCAAGAAAAGUUAGUUCAAGCAGAUAAAUACACAUAACACAUUGUAGCAACGAGAUAAAGCAAUCAAUACAAAGCAAUAAAAGGGAAAAAGGGGUUGGAUCCCUCCCCUCGUGAAUAGUGUCCCUAGCUCAGGAUAAGGCCGACUCUACCCUAGGCAAGCUAUCAUGGAUGCAUGAGGUAUUGGCUCACUAAUGCAUCUAGACUCGAUAGGUUUUAGGUCCCCGAGCCUUCAGACUUGGAAACCAAGGGUCAUCAAUCCCAAGGUUCUUUGUCGGUGGCUCGAGCGAUUCCCCAGACAUUGCUACGCACAUGUCGUGUCACGGCCACAUGUCUGAGUGAAUCUAUCAAAAAUUCUCAAUCUUCGACUAAAAGCUAAAGGCUAUUAACCCAAAGCUUAAAGCGGAAGAUUAAGUGACCCCUCGGAUCGUGCUACGCACACGUCAUGUCACGAUCACACGUCCAAGUGGGUCGCCUAAAAUCCUAAUAGGGUGGAGUGGCGUGACAAGCCACUAAAAGAAAAAUAAAUAAAGGGUGAAAAAAAUUAAAGCGUAUGCACGUAUGCUAGUGCUCGUUUGGAGGGGAGGGAUCAAGAACCAACGCGAGGCUCUAGGGUGAUGUCCCCCACCCAAAUGCAAUGCAAGCGCGAGAUAAACAAGUAAACAUACAUCCAAUCAACCAAUCAUACAUUCGUGAGGGAGUAAUUUGAGACGCGAGUGAGACAAAGAGUCCUAAAAAGGAAAAUGCAACCCUAAUAUCCAAGAUGCAAUGCAUAAAAGGGGUAGAAAAAGGAAAAGAAUGGCUAAGUCAAAUGCUUGGACCCACUUAGGAAUUCCCCAGUGGAGUCGCCAAGUUGUCGCGUCCCACUCUUUGAUAUUGUGUGAACGUGUGUAGAAGUGAAAGCAAAGACCGUGGGAUUGUAAAAUGCGACGGUUUUGGUCAAGUAAAGUUCAAAAGGGUUUUAUGUAUAAAAAAUGGAGUUGCCACUUGGUAUAGAGUUAGGGUGU
rnacentral:lncRNA from 1 species